rnacentral:rRNA from 1 species
UACAGAGGGUGCGAGCGUUAAUCGGAAUUACUGGGCGUAAAGGGUGCGUAGGUGGUUAUUUAAGUCAGAUGUGAAAGCCCUGGGCUUAACCUAGGAAUUGCAUUUGAUACUGAGUAGCUAGAGUACGGUAGAGGGAAGUGGAAUUUCCGGUGUAGCGGUGAAAUGCGUAGAUAUCGGAAGGAACAUCAGUGGCGAAGGCGGCUUCCUGGACUGAUACUGACACUGAGGCACGAAAGCAUGGGGAGCAAACAGGAUUAGAUACCCUGGUAGUCCAUGCCGUAAACGAUGAGAACUAGAUGUUAGGUGGCAAUGCGUUACCUAGUAUCGAAGCUAACGCGAUAAGUUCUCCGCCUGGGGAGUACGGCCGCAAGGUUAAA